CUACGGGUGGCAGCAGUGAGGAAUAUUGCACAAUGGGGGGAACCCUGAUGCAGCAAUGCCGCGUGGAGGAUGACGCAUUUCGGUGUGUAAACUCCUUUCAUAUGUCAAGAAGAUGACGGUAGCAUAUGAAUAAGCACCGGCUAACUCCGUGCCAGGCAGCCGCGGUAAUACGGAGGGUGCAAGCGUUACUCGGAAUCACUGGGCGUAAAGGACGCGUAGGCGGGUUGGUAAGUCAGGUGUGAAAUCCUACGGCUUAACUGUAGAACUGCACUUGAAACUUCUAAUCUUGAGUAUGGGAGGGGGAGAUGGAAUUAGUGGUGUAGGGGUAAAAUCCGUAGAUAUCACUAGGAAUACCUAAAGCGAAGGCGAUCUCCUGGAACAUUACUGACGCUAAGGCGUGAAAGCGUGGGGAGCAAACAGGAUUAGAUACCCUUGUAGUC
rnacentral:rRNA from 1 species